AUAAAACAGUUUUUUAAAUAAAAAAGGACGAAUAUACAAAUACCGUAUAAGUUUGAAACUAAAUAAAAUAAUAUCUAAAUAAAUCGCAAAUGGGGCAUAUAAUAAAAUAUAAUGAAACAGUUUGAAAUAAAGAGGAAAUGAUUAAAUUAAAAUCAAAAUGAAAGAAAAGGUACAAAUUAUAAUAACAGAUAAGUGUCAUGGACUACAUCAAAAUGCAUUCAAAGUUAUGAGGACGAAAUGGGACAUUAUCCCAAGUCUCAAAUGCGCUGCAUUUCAACCACUCAGGCCGAGGAUUAAAUCGGAAAUGAAAUAAAAUAAGUGGGCGAAAUUUAAAAAAAAAAGAAAAUGCAAAAAGGACUAAAUCAAAUGGCUUAGGAAAAGAGGAGGGACCUUGAACGAAAAUAUCCCAUUUUAGCCUUAAAAAACAUGCUGCCGUUUCUGUGGCCAUUUAAGCCAUUCUUUUUUCUUUUUCAUUUCAGCUUCUAUUUUAAAAAAGAAAAAAGAAAACAGAGGGCCUUUACCCUCUCUCCCUCUCCCUGCUCAUUUCGGUUAGGGUUCUUAGAACCUUCAUCGCCGCCUUCACCGCAGCGCCACGACAGGCGGUGGUUGGGGUGUAAACCGGGCUUUCAAGCCCCUGUUUAAGGCGAACUCAACAGCGAAAACUUCCUCAACCAAAGAAGAUCCAAAGAAGGAACCCCCUACGACCUCUUUGGGUCGAAUCCGACGACGGAGGAGCGAUCUCCGACGACGGUCACUUCGAUUCGGGUAAGUCCCCUUCUUUGAUUUUAUACCCUUUUUGUUUUUUAGAUUUGUAGUAUAAAUAAAAAGAAAUUUAAAGAGAUGAAAGAACGAAAUGAAAACAAAGAAAAAAAUAAAUCAGAGAUCAACCUUUAAAUUUUGUUCUGUUCUUUUAUUCAAAUGUGCGUCGCCCUCCCGUUACAAUCAGUUUCAUUUCGGCUUUAUAGCCGAUUCCCAUAUUAAAAUAUUGUUGUUUUAUUCUCUGCUACUGCUUGUGCUUCUUGCUGCCAUUUUUCCUCUUUUCCAAAUGUUUGCAGGUCAUGGGAGUGUCAGACGCGUGGAAGGCCGGUGAUUGGUGCCCCGAGCGGUGGUGGCGCGCGUGAGAAGGCUGGUGGCUGAAGGCAUGCGGCUGAAAACUUUGGUGGCUGCUGAAAUUUUUUUUUUAACAUAGUGGGCUUGGGCUAUUAGGGUUUAUAAAUUGGGUUUGGGUAUUGUAUUUGGACUAAGGGUAAAAUUUGGGCCUUACACUGUGAUUGUGCCAUCAACAAAUUGAAGCUUGUUCUUGGAUAAGAGCGCCAGUUUCAUUGCUCGAGACCAAGAAUGAUAAUUCGAGCUUGAUAAGGCAGGAAAAACAAGAACUAAGGCUAGAUUUUCAUUUGGAUGAAGGUAAUAAGGACUAGAAGGUAGUGUAGGAUCAUAGAGUGCCAUUGGAAAGAAAGAAACCAAUGAAAAUCAAAGAAACAGAGUGUUUGGGAAGCGAGAAAAUGUAGAAAAAUGCAAGAGAAUUUUACAUCUGAUACCAUGUAGAAAAGGAGUGUAAGGGAAUUGUUAAGAGUUCUUUUUCACCAUUCAAAGGAUUAGUUAUAUACAACUUAAAAAAGAAAAGAGAAAUAACAGAAUUGAGAACUAACAUAGGUGUAACAGACUAACUGCUACAUCUGCUAACUAACUAAUAGUUAAAUUAGAUCUAUAUUACUAACAACGUUAAAUAUAAUUCUAUGAUAUUGAAAAAAAAAUUUUAAAAAAAUUAUUCAUUGAAUAAAAAAAAUAUUUUGAAUUGAUAACUCAAUAAAUUUACGCAUUAAACAUUUAUGAACUAUUGUCAGUAUUUUUAUUAUAUUGGUCUUAGAAGUAUGAUGCCUAAAAUCUAAUCAUGCGGGUAGUUUUAUUCUUCCACAUUCUCGAGUAAAUAUGAUAAAAUAUUAUAAUAUAAUGCUUAAACUAAAAAAUAAUUAAUAUUAAUUAAAAUAACAUAUUAAAAAUUACUUUAGAUAUAAUUCUAUCCAAAUAAAAAUUUUAAAUGUGAU
rnacentral:lncRNA from 1 species